GCUUAUAUAGUUUAAAUAAAAAUUUUAGUUUGUGGUGCUAAAGAUAUAUGUAACAGUAUUUUAAGCA
rnacentral:tRNA from 1 species